AACCUGGUUGAUCUUGCCAGUAGUCAUAUGCUUGUCUCAAAGAUUAAGCCAUGCAAGUGAAAGUAUAUGCAUAUUUUAUAUGUAGAAACUGCGAACGGCUCAUUAAAACAGUUAUAAUCUACUUGACAUUUUUUCUAUAAGGAUAACUACGGAAAAGCUGUAGCUAAUACUUGCUUUAGCACUCUUGAUUCAUUUCUUGAGUGUGUAUUUGUUAAGCCUUUUAAGAAAAAAGUUAUUAACUUAAGGAAUUAUAACAAAGAAGCGACACGUAAUGGAUCCGUCCAUUUUUAGUGUGUAUCAAUCGAGUUUCUGACCUAUCAGCUUUUGAUGUUAGGGUAUUGGCCUAACAUGGCUAUGACGGGUAACGGGGAAUUAGAGUUCGAUUCCGGAGAGGGAGCCUGAGAAAUAGCUACCACAUCUAAGGAAGGCAGCAGGCGCGUAAAUUACCCAAUUCUAAAGAAGAGAGGUAGUGACAAGAAAUAACAAUACAAGGCCAAUCUGGCUUUGUAAUUGGAAUGAUGGGAAUUUAAAACCUUCCCAAAACUCAAUUGGAGGGCAAGUCUGGUGCCAGCAGCCGCGGUAAUUCCAGCUCCAAUAGCGUAUAUUAAAAUUGUUGCAGUUAAAACGCUCGUAGUUGAAUUUCAAAGAAUCGAUAUUUUAAGCAACGCUUCUAGCUUAAUCCACAUAACUGAUACUCCGUAUCGACUUUGUGCGCAUUUUGCUAUUAUGUGUUCUUUUAAUUAAAAUGAUUCUUUUUAAGGACUUUCUUUGCUUCGGCUUGGAAGUCCUUGUUACUUUGAGUAAAUUAGAGUGUUCAAAGCAAACAGAUAUAGCAUUGCGCGUUUGAAUACUACAGCAUGGAAUAACAAAAUUGAACAAGUCAGAAUUUUGUUCUUUUUUCUUAUUUUGGCUUAGUUACGAUUAAUAGGAGUAGCUUGGGGGCAUUUGUAUUCAGAUGUCAGAGGUGAAAUUCUUAGAUUUUCUGGAGACAAACAACUGCGAAAGCAUUUGCCUAAAAUACUUCCAUUAAUCAAGAACGAAAGUUAAGGGAGUGAAGACGAUCAGAUACCGUCGUAAUCUUAACCAUAAACUAUGCCGACUAGGCUUUGGAUGAAAGAUUUUAAAAUAAGAAUUUUCUCUUCGGAGUUUAUUCUUAGAUUGCUUCCUUCAGUGCCUUAUGAGAAAUCAAAGUCUUUGGGUUCUGGGGCGAGUAUUCGCGCAAGCGAGAAAGUUAAAAGAAUUGACGGAAGGGCACCACCAGGCGUGGAGCUUGCGGCUUAAUUUGACUCAACACGGGAAAACUCACUAGUUUAAGACAAGAGUAGGAUUGACAGAUUAAUAGCUCUUUCUUGAUUUCUUGGAUGGUGAUGCAUGGCCGUUUUUAGUUCGUGAAUAUGAUUUGUCUGGUUAAUUCCGAUAACGAACGAGAUCUUAACCUGCUAAUUAGCGGCAAAUACGAUAUAUUCUUACGUGGGACUGAAUUCGGUUGAUUUGCUUACUUUGAAGAAAAUAUUGGGAAACGUAACAGUUUCCCUUUCCCUUUUCUACUUAGUUCGCUUUUCAUACUGUUUCUUUUUCGCGUAAGAAUGUAUUUGCUUGAUUGUAAAGCUUCUUAGAGGAACGAUGUGUGUCUAACACAAGGAAGUUUAAGGCAACAACAGGUCUGUGAUGUCCUUAGAUGAACUAGGCUGCACGCGUGCUACACUGAUAUGUAUAACGAGUUAUUAAAAUUACGAUUCAGCUUGCUGUUUCGUAUUUUUCCUCCACUGAAAAGUGUAGGUAAUCUUUAUCAGUACAUAUCGUGAUGGGGAUAGAUUAUUGCAAUUAUUAAUCUUGAACGAGGAAUGCCUAGUAAGCAUGAUUCAUCAGAUUGUGCUGACUACGUCCCUGCCCUUUGUACACACCGCCCGUCGCUCCUACCGAUUGAAAGAUAUGAUGAAUUGUUUGGACAAGAAGAAGGGGGAUUAUAUCUCCUUUUUUCUGGAAAAACCGUAAAUCCUAUCUUUUAAAGGAAGGAGAAGUCGUAACAAGGUUUCCGUAGGUGAACCUGCGGAAGGAUCAUUA
rnacentral:rRNA from 1 species